rnacentral:rRNA from 1 species
UACGGAGGGUGCAAGCGUUAUCCGGAUUUACUGGGUUAAAGGGUGCGUAGGUGGGUUGGUAAGUCAGUGGUGAAAUACUUUCGCUUAACGAAGGAACUGCCAUUGAUACUAUCAAUCUUGAAUGUAGUGGAGGUAGGCGGAAUGCGUCAUGUAGCGGUGAAAUGCUUAGAUAUGACGCAGAACACCAAUUGCGAAGGCAGCUUGCUACACUACUAUUGACAUUGAGGCACGGAAAGCGUGGGGAGCCAAACAGG